rnacentral:tRNA from 1 species
GCCCCCAUCGUCUAACGGCUAGGACACCACUCUUUCAAGGUGGAGAUCGGGGUUCGAUUCCCCGUGGGGGCA